rnacentral:ribozyme from 16 species
GGAACGGCAAAAACAGUGAUAAUUUGGAAGCUUCGGUGCAUUUUCCCUCCAUUUUUCUCUUUUUUUCUCUAUUUUUUUUG